GUGUCCAUGGGAAUUAAAGAAUACAAUCCCUAGUGCUAAAAAUAAAAUAAGGUAACAAAUUUGGACAACUCACCCAACUUCAUACCAUAUGAGACAAACGAUGGGGAAAUGCAUGUGAAGUUUCCCUCAAUUGUUUUUUCAUGGGUUCAUGUGGGGAGUGGUGGGGCAAUAAUAUAUUCCUCUUUUUGGAUUAGGCUUUUACUCGAGCAGAUUCAAGAAUACUUAAAUGACCACAUUGAUGCAAUCAUUUGCAAAGGUCAGAAUUUCACAUGGAGGCAUUUUCACGUCGUUAUUACCUUUGGAAGAUACUAAGAGAGGCGGCACGAAAAACAACAGAUGGAGGCGUUUCUCGAAUUCACAUCCAACAGUAUUAUUCAAACCU